UACGUAGGUGGCAAGCGUUGUCCGGAAUUAUUGGGCGUAAAGCGCGCGCAGGCGGUUAUGUAAGUCUGAUGUUAAAGCCCGGGGCUCAACCUCGGUUCGCAUUGGAAACUGUGUAACUUGAGUGCAGAAGAGGAAAGUGGUAUUCCACGUGUAGCGGUGAAAUGCGUAGAUAUGUGGAGGAACACCAGUGGCGAAGGCGCCUUUCGGGUCUGUAAUUGACGCUGAGGCGCGAAAGCGUGGGGAGCAAACAGG
rnacentral:rRNA from 1 species